rnacentral:rRNA from 1 species
UGGUGGAGUGAUUUGUCUGGUUAAUUCCGUUAACGAACGAGACCUCGACCUGCUAAAUAGUAAGCAUUUCUCCGGAAGUGGCUUGCUUCUUAGAGGGACUGUCGGAUUCUAGCCGAAGGAAGUUCGAGGCAAUAACA